CGGCUAUCUGCAGUCGAGGGGCAGCAGGGGUAGCAAUACCCGCUGGCGACCGGCAAACGGGUGCGGAACACGUACGCAACCUUCCUUCAAGCGGGAGAUAGCCCGGAGAAAUCCGGAUUAAUAUCCCAUAGGAUUGUGGAUCGGCAUCGAUCAGCAAUUAAAGAUUUAUCACUUGAAGAUGGGCGUGCGUCUGAUUAGGUAGUUGGUGAGGUAACGGCUCACCAAGCCGACGAUCAGUAACUGGCGUGAGAGCGCGACCAGUCACACGGGCACUGAGACACAGGCCCGACUCCUACGGGAGGCAGCAGUAAGGAAUAUUGGUCAAUGGACGCAAGUCUGAACCAGCCAUGCCGCGUGGAGGAUGAAGGUCCUCUGGAUUGUAAACUUCUUUUAUCUGGGAAGAAAUGGUUGCUUUCUAGCGAUCUUGACGGUACCAGAUGAAUAAGCACCGGCUAACUCCGUGCCAGCAGCCGCGGUAAUACGGAGGGUGCAAGCGUUAUCCGGAUUCACUGGGUUUAAAGGGUGCGUAGGCGGAACAGAAAGUCCGUUGUGAAAUCUCCGAGCUUAACUCGGAAAUUGCGGUGGAUACUAUUGUUCUUGAAUAUUGUUGAGGUUAGCGGAAUAUGUCAUGUAGCGGUGAAAUGCAUAGAUAUGACAUAGAACACCAAUUGCGAAGGCAGCUGGCUAAACAAAUAUUGACGCUGAGGCACGAAAGCGUGGGGAUCAAACAGGAUUAGAUACCCUGGUAGUCCACGCCCUAAACGAUGAUUACUCGACAUUUGCGAUACACAGCAAGUGUCUGAGCGAAAGCAUUAAGUAAUCCACCUGGGAAGUACGACCGCAAGGUUGAA
rnacentral:rRNA from 1 species